rnacentral:lncRNA from 1 species
CAAAUUAAUAAGCACAGGUAUUGGCGGUAAACUUGGGAAUUUUAAUUAAUGAGCAGAAAAAAAAAAGGAACAAAAGUAGUUGAAAGAAACAUUUUUUACGAGAAAAUAAGCAUUAACUAAUUAUAUUUGGAUGAUUAAUUUAUCAAGUAUUAUGUAAUGCGUGAAAAUAACUCAAAUACAAAGUUUUGAUGCCAAUUUUAUUCUACCGACAUACUUUUCCAUAAAUAUCGCGUAUUUUAUUUCAUGUAUACAUUAGUGUACUGUAUUCUGCUCAAAUUUAAAUAAUAGAACAGAAUGGGAAAUUAAGAUAACGGAAUUAUCGUUCUGAUUUCAGAUUCACUCUGUUUCAAGACUGAUGAAAAACCUGCAUUAAAUAAUUAAAUUUUCCCGCUCCAAAAUUUUCUAUGAGCUAAUAAAAGCCCUCAAAGUAAUGUGCUCUAAUUUCCACGUAAUUAUCCUUAAGUUUGAUUCCACUACGCCAAAAUAAGGAACAUCAGAAAAAGAGAUAUUAAAAACCACAUACUUUGAUGAUUUAUACUAAAUUUCAAGAUGAAGGAAAUGUGUUCAUAUUAAACACAAAUUCUAGUAUUUAAUAAUCUUAGCACUAAUAUUACUAUAUGCUGCUUUUGCAACAGUGAAAUAAAGUAGGCUUACCAGUGAAACCGAAAAAUUUCCAUUCAAAGCCAACAGUUGAUUUGUGGUAUUUAAGAUAAUGAUAGGAGUGGUAUACUAUAAGACUUUAAUUUUUGUUCCUACCCCCUUGUUUUUUCUUUAAAUAAUUAUAACUUAAGAAAUCUGUAAAUC